UGCUCCAUCUCGCUCUUGGGAGUGUGGAGCCAGACGUGGGCCCUCAUUAUUUCCCGGCUCCAUCUCUCUGCCUCCUCCCCCAGGGUCUCUUCCAUUCCUCCUCCUGCUCCUGGCUCUCUCCAGUUCUGAACCUAGUGUACAUGUGCUUCUUGCUGAAGGUGAUGAGGAGGCUGGGGAGAGAACCCAUUAAAAUCCAGACGUUUUGCCUGCACAAUCUUAAACACCUGGACCUGGGGAAGCAGAGAAACAGGCUGAUUUUCCAGCAUAUCCAGAUAUUUCUCAUCCUGUGAGCACCCCCCCUUCUCCGUCCUCCGGAAAAUCCAUUUGUCCAGAGGACGUGCACUCUGCCCGCGAACGCAGCCCGCGCCUCCGUUCUCUCCCGACUUCUGCUCAGAUCCGGCUGAGCACAUCCACACAAAAGGGACAAGAGCUCUGCUUCUGUGGAACCAGCUCGGCACAGACCUUCUUCCCACGGGAUUGCCUGGGGUUGCCUAGCAAUCUGACACCACCCUGCCGCAGCAGACCCACGGCCAUCCCUGCCCUCUGAAGGAGGCUGUGUUGUCAUGUGGCGUGGACCUCGGACCCUGCAGGGCCAUGCGCCCACUUGCAGCAUUCGAGGCUACGCCCACAUCCUGAGCUGCUGGUGAGACGCCCUGGGCCUCAGUCUUCUGUGACUUCAGGGGCUGCCCAACAUGACCUCUGAAGUUGCUCCCGGCCAUGGUGACUUCUGAGAGAAUCCACAGUCUGGAUGGCCGUGCAGAGGAGGAGAAGGGAGAGGGGCAAGAUGCUGCUCUGUCUGGGGAGCCUGCAGAUCUCACGUGCCCUCCACAGCGAUUCAGCGCUCCCCAGUGUCCCUCAGGGCUUAGACGGCAGCCCAGGAAGGAGGCCCUGUGAGCAGGACAGCAGUCAGCCAGCCUGGACGGUGGCGGGGAAACACCAAGGUGUGCGUGGCAGCUCACCAGAGCCACCCUCCUGUUUGCCAGAGUAGACCAAGUCGCUUCAGAGGGCUGAAGCCAGUGUCUGCAGGUCAUGCCAGUGGCGCUGUACAGAGAGAGGAGUGGGAAGUCCAAACAAUCUGGCCCAAGUGCAGAGAAGAACCUGGAAGAGUUUCUUUUGUUGUCCAAAGGGCAGAAGGCAUUCCACCGAUGACCGCUCUCAUCUGGACAGCGGCCCCCUGCCAUCCCUCUGUCCCAUCCCUUGGACCUACCCUCUCUCUUGCUGGACCACUGCUUCAGCUAGUCCUAUUGCCUGGUUUCAUGCUUUCCUCCCUUGUUUUGUUGGAGCACAUCCUGUAGUAAAUGAAAAAUGGUGUGUGGGAAAUCAUUCUUUAGGGACCUCACUGGUGCAAAUGUCUUCAUUGUAGUCUCCUGUUGGACGGCAUCUUUGGUGAAGUAGGGCCAGAAAUCAUUAUCUGCCAGCACACUGAAGGCACCCCUUCCCUGUCAUGAGCUUGGCUUGCUGAGAAUUCAGGCACGGUUCUCAUUCCUGGAAACCUGGGGAACUCUUUGGUUUCUCAUGAUACUAGGUGGGUUAGUUUCCAACCCUUGUGGGGAGAAUUUGAAAACUCAUUUCCUGGAAGAUUUCUUGAAUUAAGUGAUUUGUGAUUCCCUCUUCUCUUUGCUUGCGCUCUCUCUGCAGGGAGGAGUCCUCUGUGGGGCUGCUCUGUCAACAGGUCACCCACCUUCCCUCCUUUCUCAGCCCUCCCCUCUCUCUUUCCCUGCCUUCUGGGACUCUCUCCUGCUUUGGUCUGUUGAGGUUUUGGCGUUUGUUUGUUGCGGUCCUCAUGCUUUAGUUUCCCAGCCCUUUCGGUUCUCUAAAUGUUCUCCUUACAAUAGCUUCUGCUCUUGGUUCUGGGGUGCACUAUCUCCUCGGAUCUCUUUGAGGAUCAGGCUGUCCUGGAGCUCUGGCUGCUCCCCUUUAAGAAGGGGCCGCAAAGCUGCCACAGCUCUGAGCCUGGGUGAGGCUUGUGCCCUGGAGGUUCCCUCUUGGGGACACUGGCUGGGACCCUGAAUGGGAAGCAGCACAACGAUGUCUCCUUAGGUUUCUCCUUUUGGUACUGAUCAGAUUCCCCAGAGGAGACUCUUCCGGCCUCCGAGCUGGGUGGAGGGCAAAGGUCAAGAUGCCAUGCUAGGGGGGGUCUGAGCGGGUUUCCAUGCAGGACGCCUUUCCUUCCUCUGCGUCAGGUCCCCAGGGCCACCCAGUCAUCUCUGGGCUUCCACCUCCCCUCCCUGCCCAGGUCUCUGGUUCUGCGGCUUCUGAGCCUUCGAAGCCCUGCUGGCCGGCCUGGCCCACCGAGGGUCAGCUCCAGCUGGACUGCCAGGCCACCCCUCCGCAGGCUUCCUGAGCCCACAGUGCGUUGCUGGUGCCCUUUCUCCUGCUCUCAGGCCUGUGGGGGUUUACACCUUAACAAAACAGAACAAAAGGGAAGACCAACAUUCCCUUUUGUAGUGUUAGUGGUUUUCAGAGGAGCCCUGCGUUUGGGGGCAUUUCCGACCCGUCGGAACCUCCCUCUGUUUCUUUCCUCCUUGUUAUUACAAAGGACUGUCCUCAGCUCUUCCCCACGCACUCGCACUCGCUUUAAAAAUAAAGUUGCCAAAUGAGAGGUUUCAAAAGUCUGGGACGACACUCUCAUGGAAGGACUCCUGAUUGGUCCCCGUUUGAAGACACACAGACCAUCCCUGACCCUCUUUUAUGGCAGGUCCCCAUGGAUGGUGUUGGGUCUGAACGGAAAAAUCCCUGGGGCCUGUCCCCAAGGGGCAUCAUCCUGAUGGGCAGAUGCCAGCUUCAGUUUGCCACCCGGGGUCUGGGUGGGAAGUGAGCUGAGCCCUGAGCUGGGGCGGCUGG